rnacentral:rRNA from 1 species
UACGUAGGGGGCAAGCGUUGUCCGGAAUCAUUGGGCGUAAAGCGCGUGUAGGCGGUCCGAUAAGUUCGCUGUGAAAGUCGGGGGCUUAACCCUCGGAUGCCGGUGAAUACUGUCGGGCUUGAGUACGGAAGAGGCGAGUGGAAUUCCUGGUGUAGCGGUGAAAUGCGCAGAUAUCAGGAGGAACACCAAUGGCGAAGGCAGCUCGCUGGGACGGUACUGACGCUGAGGCGCGAAAGCGUGGGGAGCAAACAGG